CAGAGGCCUCGAGCGUUGUUCGGAUUUACUGGGCGUAAAGGGAAUGUAGGCGGUAGCGUAAGUCAGAUGUGAAAGCCCUAGGCUUAACCUGGGAAAUGCAUUUGAUACUGUGCUGCUAGAGUGCGAGAGAGGAAAGUGGAAUUCCAGGUGUAGGGGUGAAAUCCGUAGAUAUCUGGAGGAAUACCAAUGGCGAAGGCAGCUUUCUGGCUCGUAACUGACGCUGAGAUUCGAAAGCGUGGGUAGCAAACAGGAUUAGAUACCCUGGUAGUCCACGCCGUAAACGCUGGAUACUAGCUGUUGGGGGCAACUUCAGUGGCUAAGCGAAAGUGAUAAGUAUCCCACCUGGGGAGUACGUUCGCAAGAAUG
rnacentral:rRNA from 1 species